UACGUAGGUGGCAAGCGUUGUCCGGAAUUAUUGGGCGUAAAGCGCGCGCAGGUGGUUUCUUAAGUCUGAUGUGAAAGCCCACGGCUCAACCGUGGAGGGUCAUUGGAAACUGGAGAACUUGAGUGCAGAAGAGGAAAGUGGAAUUCCAAGUGUAGCGGUGAAAUGCGUAGAGAUUUGGAGGAACACCAGUGGCGAAGGCGACUUUCUGGUCUGUAACUGACACUGAGGCGCGAAAGCGUGGGGAGCAAACAGG
rnacentral:rRNA from 1 species